GACAGAGGGUGCGAGCGUUGCUCGGAAUUACUGGGCGUAAAGGGCGCGUAGGCGGACAGUUUAGUCAGAGGUGAAAGCCCAGGGCUCAACCUUGGAACUGCCUUUGAUACUGACUGUCUUGAGUUCGGGAGAGGUGAGUGGAAUGCCGAGUGUAGAGGUGAAAUUCGUAGAUAUUCGGCGGAACACCAGUGGCGAAGGCGACUCACUGGCCCGAUACUGACGCUGAGGCGCGAAAGCGUGGGGAGCAAACAGG
rnacentral:rRNA from 1 species